UGGGGAAUAUUGGACAAUGGGGGCAACCCUGAUCCAGCCAUGCCGCGUGAGUGAAGAAGGCCUUAGGGUUGUAAAGCUCUUUCACCCGCGAAGAUGAUGACGGUAGCGGGAGAAGAAGCCCCGGCUAACUCCGUGCCAGCAGCCGCGGUAAUACGGAGGGGGCAAGCGUUGUUCGGAAUUACUGGGCGUAAAGGGCGCGUAGGCGGGCGAUCAAGUCAGGGGUGAAAGGCCUGGGCUCAACCUGGGAACUGCCUUUGAAACUGAUUGUCUUGAGUCCGGGAGAGGAUGGCGGAAUUCCCAGUGUAGAGGUGAAAUUCGUAGAUAUUGGGAAGAACACCGGUGGCGAAGGCGGCCAUCUGGACCGGCACUGACGCUGAGGCGCGAAAGCGUGGGGAGCAAACAGGAUUAGAUACCCCCGUAGUCC
rnacentral:rRNA from 1 species